rnacentral:misc_RNA from 1 species
ACACCUCAACCCUCCAAUGUUUUGCAUUGCAGGUGUUGGUAGUGAGCGCUGCCGGUCUUUGGAUCGGCUCGCUUUAAAAUCAUUAGCUGGAUCCAUUCUGACCUGGUUCUACUCGGCGUAAUAAGUUAUUAUCGUCGAGGACGCCUUGCCUUGUAGGCAGGCGGCCACAGUAAGGGUGUUUUUGAACCGCUUCCAACGCGUCUUGCUCUUGUAGCAAACAGUUGAAUCU